rnacentral:lncRNA from 1 species
ACAAUAGAACAAUAAAAAAAAACAUAAGCCUUGGGCUCUUUGCCACAACAACACAAAGUAUGCAUAAGUCUCAAGAAACAUACCUUAAAAAUACAAUGAACAAUAAAAACACACACAUGUAAUAUGAAUCAUAAAAUUUAAUUCCUCAUUCAUUUGAAGAAGAGUGCCUCUGGUUCUAACUACCUGAAAACAAAACAAACAACAAUUAUAUUUAAUCACUUUAAAAUACUUUAUAUAAAUUAUUUAACAUUGAACUCCAAUAAUCAAUAGAAAACUUCAUUACAUAUAUUUCUUCAAUUUGAACUUAUAAUCUCUAUUCUGUUAAAAAAAAAUUAUAAUCUCUAUUUAUUAAUGAUAAUUUCCAUGGUAAAAUAAAUUUCAUUUAACUAAAAGGAUAGAUUGAAUAAAUUAUUCACUCAUUAGAUACACAAAGGAACUACAAGAGAAAAAGAAAUAUACAUACUUACCCAAUUUUUUCCAUCAUGCGAAUAUGAAAUACAAGUGUCCUCGACAGUUAGAAUUCUUCCCGGGUUCCAGCAAUCCUCGCUAUAUUCCCGGAGGGGCAAAUCCCACGGCGUUACUAUCAUACUGCUGUUUAUUAGUAAGCGUAGCCUUCUCAGUCUCGAUAACUCACGAGGUAAUUGAGCGAUUAUUGAAUGACUUAGGUCAAUCAUCCCCAAACUCUCCAAAUUUCCAAUAGAAUUUAACCUGAAAGAAUUUGACCUAAAAGAAUU